rnacentral:rRNA from 1 species
CCUACGGGAGGCAGCAGUGAGGAAUAUUGGUCAAUGGACGCAAGUCUGAACCAGCCAUGCCGCGUGCAGGAAGACGGCUCUAUGAGUUGUAAACUUCUUUUGUACGAGGGUAAACGCAGAUACGCGUAUCUGUCUGAAAGUAUCUUACGAAUAAGGAUCGGCUAACUCCGUGCCAGCAGCCGCGGUAAUACGGAGGAUUCAAGCGUUAUCCGGAUUUAUUGGGUUUAAAGGGUGCGUAGGUGGUCUGAUAAGUUAGAGGUGAAAUUCCGAGGCUCAACUUCGGAAUUGCAUCUGAUACUGUUCGGCUAGAGAGUAGUUGCGGUAGGCGGAAUGUAUGGUGUAGCGGUGAAAUGCUUAGAGAUCAUACAGAACACCGAUUGCGAAGGCAGCUUACCAAGCUACCUCUGACGUUGAGGCACGAAAGCGUGGGGAGCAAACAGGAUUAGAUACCCCAGUAGUC